rnacentral:rRNA from 1 species
UACGAAGGGGGCUAGCGUUGUUCGGAUUUACUGGGCGUAAAGCGCACGUAGGCGGAUCGAUCAGUCAGGGGUGAAAUCCCAGGGCUCAACCCUGGAACUGCCUUUGAUACUGGCGAUCUCGAGUCCGGAAGAGGUGAGUGGAACUCCUAGUGUAGAGGUGGAAUUCGUAGAUAUUAGGAAGAACACCAGUGGCGAAAGGCGACUCACUGGUCCGGUAUGACGCUGAGGUGCGAAAGCGUGGGGAGCAAACAGG